UUAGGGUUUGAUCCUGGCUCAGGAUGAACGCUAGCGGCAGGCCUAAUACAUGCAAGUCGGACGGGAUUGGUUCCAGAGCUUGCUCUGGGACCAUGAGAGUGGCGCACGGGUGCGUAACGCGUGAGCAACCUACCCAUAUCAGGGGGAUAGCCCGGAGAAAUCCGGAUUAACACCGCAUGAGACAGUAUUACCGCAUGGUAUAGCUGUUAAAUAUUUAUAGGAUAUGGAUGGGCUCGCGUGACAUUAGCUAGUUGGUAGGGUAACGGCUUACCAAGGCGACGAUGUCUAGGGGCUCUGAGAGGAGAAUCCCCCACACUGGUACUGAGACACGGACCAGACUCCUACGGGAGGCAGCAGUAAGGAAUAUUGGUCAAUGGGCGGAAGCCUGAACCAGCCAUGCCGCGUGCAGGAUGACUGCCCUAUGGGUUGUAAACUGCUUUUAUCCGGGAAUAAACCCCAGUACGUGUACUGGGCUGAAUGUACCGGAAGAAUAAGGAUCGGCUAACUCCGUGCCNGCAGCCGCGGUAAUACGGAGGAUCCGAGCGUUAUCCGGAUUUAUUGGGUUUAAAGGGUGCGUAGGCGGCCCGUUAAGUCNGGAGUGAAAGACGGCAGCUCAACUGUCGCAGUGCUCUUGAUACUGAUGGGCUUGAAUCCNGUUGAAGUGGGCGGAAUAAGACNAGUAGCGGUGAAAUGCAUAGACAUGUCUUAGAACUCCNAUUGCNAANGCAGCUCNCUAAAGUGGUAUUGAC
rnacentral:rRNA from 1 species